UACGGGGGGAGCAAGCGUUGUUCGGAUUUACUGGGCGUAAAGGGCGGGUAGGCGGCCACCGCAAGUCAGUUGUGAAAUCUCUGGGCUUAACCCAGAAAGGUCAACUGAUACUGUCGGGCUAGAGUGCAGAAGAGGCGAGUGGAAUUCCUGGUGUAGCGGUGAAAUGCGCAGAUAUCAGGAGGAACACCUAUUGCGAAGGCAGCUCGCUGGGACGUAACUGACGCUGAGACGCGAAAGCGUGGGGAGCAAACAGG
rnacentral:rRNA from 1 species